rnacentral:rRNA from 1 species
CCCUACGGGGUGCACCAGGCGCGAAACCUCCGCAAUGCACGCAAGUGCGACGGGGGAACCCCAAGUGCCACUCUUAACGGGGUGGCUUUCAGAAGUGUAAAAAGCU